CAGUCUGCAACUCGACUGCACGAAGCUGGAAUCGCUAGUAAUCGCGGAUCAGCACGCCGCGGUGAAUACGUUCCCGGGCCUUGUACACACCGCCCGUCACACCAUGGAAGUCUGCAAUGCCCGAAGCCGGUGGCCUAACCACUUAUGUGGGAGGAGCCGUCUAAGGCAGGGCAGAUGACUGGGGUGAAGUCGUAACAAGGUACC
rnacentral:rRNA from 1 species